rnacentral:rRNA from 1 species
GAUCAUGGCUCAUGAUGAACGCUGGCGGCGUGCCUAACACAUGCAAGUCGAGCGAGAAGCUCUUGACGGAUUCUUCGGAUGAGGGAGAGAGUGGAAAGCGGCGGACGGGUGAGUAACGCGUAGGCAACCUGCCCUUUGCAGAGGGAUAGCCAUUGGAAACGAUGAUUAAAACCUCAUAAUACUGAUUUUUCACAUGGAGAGUCAGUCAAAGAUUUAUCGGCAAAGGAUGGG